rnacentral:rRNA from 1 species
CAGUCGCCACGGGAAUACGUAGGGUGCGAGCGUUAAUCGGAAUUACUGGGCGUAAAGCGUGCGCAGACGGUUGUGUAAGACAGGUGUGAAAUCCCCGGGCUUAACCUGGGAACUGCGCUUGUGACUGCACAGCUAGAGUAUGGCAGAGGGGGGUGGAAUUCCACGUGCAGCAGUGAAAUGCGUAGAGAUGUGGAGGAACACCGAUGGCGAAGGCAGCCCCCUGGGCCAAUACUGACGCUCAUGCACGAAAGCGUGGGGAGCAAGCAGGAUUAGAUACCCGCGUAGUCCCUGUCUCUUAUAA